GUUGUCUGGUUUGCUUCCCCACACCUCUUUCUCUCUCACCACCACCUCUCUCCCUCUCCCUCACGGCCUCUCUCCUCUCUCUGUCACGGCACCUCUCUCUCUCUCUCUCUCUCUCCCUCUCCCCACUACCUCUCUCUCUCCCUCCCUCUCCCUCACGGGCUCUCUCCUGUCUCAGGCUGGGAAGCUUGGAUCUAUCAGAGAUUUGGGUUUCGUUUUUGAUGGGCUGG
rnacentral:lncRNA from 1 species